rnacentral:rRNA from 1 species
UUCCCCUAGUAACUGCGAGUGAAGCGGGAAAAGCUCAAAUUUAAAAUCUGGUAGUUUCACUGCCCGAGUUGUAAUCUAGAGAAGCGUUAUCCGCGCUGGACCGUGUAUAAGUCUCCUGGAAUGGAGCGUCAUAGAGGGUGAGAAUCCCGUCUUUGACACGGACUACCAGGGCUUUGUGAUGCGCUCUCAAAGAGUCGAGUUGUUUGGGAAUGCAGCUCUAAAUGGGUGGUAAAUUCCAUCUAAAGCUAAAUAUUGGCGAGAGACCGAUAGCGAACAAGUACCGUGAGGGAAAGAUGAAAAGAACUUUGGAAAGAGAGUUAAACAGUACGUGAAAUUGUUGAAAGGGAAACGCUUGAAGUCAGUCGCGUUGGCUAGGAAUCAGCCUUGCUUUUGCUUGGUGUACUUUCUGGUUGACGGGUCAGCAUCAGUUUUGAUCGGUGGAAAAAGGCCAGUGGAAUGUGGCACCUUCGGGUGUGUUAUAGCUGCUGGUUGUAUACAUCGGUUGGGACUGAGGAACUAGCACUUUGUGUUUUAGAUGCUGGCAUAAUGGCUUUAAUCGACCCGUCUUGAAACACGGACCAAGGAGUCUAACAUGCCUGCGAGUGUUUGGGUGGAAAACCCGAGCGCGUAAUGAAAGUGAAAGUUGAGAUCCCUGUCGUGGGGAGCAUCGACGCCCGGACCAGACCUUUUGUGACGGAUCCGCGGUAGAGCAUGUAUGUUGGGACCCGAAAGAUGGUGAACUAUGCCUGAAUAGGGUGAAGCCAGAGGAAACUCUGGUGGAGGCUCGUAGCGAUUCUGACGUGCAAAUCGAUCGUCAAAUUUGGGUAUAGGGGCGAAAGACUAAUCGAACCAUCUAGUAGCUG